CAUGUUUCACUAACAAAGGGCCGUCUAUAUAGACUGCGAAAUCUGCCGAAAACCGGGAGACGGUAACAAGACCUCUUUUGCGAAACAGUGAACUUUUUCAAGGUUGCACACGUGUCUAACGCGUAAAAUAUUUGAUGUCGUACGCACACAAUCUCUUGGAGUAAUUUACUGAAACUUUUAUAUAAAAUGUGUACUGUUACAAGAUAGAGGAGCUGUUUUCAAUGCCUCCUUAGCAUUAGUAUGUGGGUAGAAAUAAAUGUGUGAGUCACACAUAUACUCUCUCUCACACACACACACAGACACAUAAACAUACACAAACACGCACACACACACAUAUACGCCCACAUAUACAUACACAUAUACGCACACACAUACACAUAUAUACUCACACACACGCCCAUUUUAUUUUUUUUUUCAAGUAAUUCCUUUCAAGUAUUUUGCAUAUGUUCUGAGUGAGUUUUCCACGGAACAUUAGAGAACGUCUAUUAUUUACGUAACGCAAAUAAUUACCUUCUUCGACCCCGUUCCUAUGUCACUCUCUUUUUGGAUCUUUAAUAUUGUUUCUAUGAGUUGUCAAGCUUUCCAACCCCCCUUUCGAACGUUACAUACUAAUUGGUUGACCCCUACAUGUUUUCUUGCACAUUUCCGAUCACGGAAGUUAAUUUUUGGCUUUGAAAAAAAUUAAAAAUUUUAAUUCGAUUUUAUGAACAAUUCGAUUUUACGCACAUUUCAAAAACAAGAAUGUGCGUAAAAUCGAGGUAUAACUGUAUCGAUUUCGAGCAAUUUUAAUUUGUGAUUUAAAAUUUUUAUGAAAACGAUAGAAUAUUUCCACGCAUUUAUAAGUUAGAAAUGCAGCUCUGCCAGAUGAUAUAAAAACCGAAUAUAGCGAAACAACCCAAUUUUUGAAUCACGAAAUAAAACUGCUUGAAAUCUCCUCGAAAUCGCUACGAUGACAGUUCGCCCACAUACAUAAGAUAUACGUAACACUGGCGAUUUUUUUUGGUACACGUUGCCCCACAGUACCCCGUACUCCAUCCUGUCAAACUACUCGAAAAAUAAUGAACGAAAUGAAUUUUCUUUUUUUCGGUUUUAUCGAGCCUCAAUUAAAAUCCCAUAAGGAACUGUCAAGAAGUUAGGCCGUUACAAAUUUUGUUUUCAUUUUAUGUAACUUUGAUAACCUUGGACAUAAAAAGAAUUCGAAAUUUGUAUCAGCCUGAUUUGCAAAAUCAAUCCAGCAUUUUUCGAGUAGGAACGAUACAAAUGCACUGCCCUCAAAAGCAACUCAAACAAUGACGUAUUCAGAGGUUGGUACCAUUCGAGUACCUCAUUUUGUACCAACUUUUUUGGAAGAUUUCUUCCUGAGUGUUACGUAUGUCUUAUGUAUGUGGUUUGAUGCUUAAAAUAUUUACAAAUUUUAUCAUCAUAUACUUACGAAAAAUUUGUUCUAUGCGAUCAUCUUCUUGCUAAAGUUCAAAUUGAACUGACAACUAGAAGGAGAACAACGAAUAGAGAAAAUUUGAUAGCAGGUCCGGUAGUUUUCUACCAGUAUUCGGUAAAAGUUUAAUUUACCGAACAGUUCAGCAGAAAGUAUAGCAGUAUUCAGUAAAAUUAUUUACUGAAUACAGGAAAUAUGUUAAGUUAUAUCAAUUUUACAAUCCUCAAUUUUCUCAAACUUACCGAUGGAAAUUGAAAUAUUAAUUACCGAACUUUUAUUAUUCGAUUGAGUGUGUAUGUCUUAUGUAUGUGUUUGAACCAGGGGGGAUCUAUCUGUCAAACAUCGUGUAACCAACAUAUUCGGCAACAUGGCGUUUGUUUUGGUUUUUGUUCUUUUUGGUCAUUAAAUUGAUCGAUGUGAAAUGUUAUAGAAUUGGAACGUUUUUUGAUCAAAACUCGAGAAACCUCGAAAAACCUUCAUGAAUGUAUUAUGUAGUGUUUUUCCCCCAUUAUUGUUCCUAGUUACAAACAUCAUGGACCAACAAACGUUAUGGACCAAAGUUGAUCUGCGAUAACGCACACAUAUAUGAAAUUUGACAGCAUUGAAUCCCCUCUGGUUUGAACACUUAUUAUAAAUAAUAUCUCGAGGAACAUUUCAAAAGGUCCAAUCUGACAUUUGUAAACAAAACCCGAUUUAUGCUUAUUCCUGUAAAAAAGCUUUAUGUCUUUGAGUUUUCAAAAAUUAAAAUCGAUUUUUGAUUUCUAUAAAAAUUUCAGAGGUUGGGAGAAAAACGUCCAAUUGGAUGAAUAGUACAAUAUUACUCAGUUUUCUGAUUGGACGUUUUUCCUGUAAGUAGGCCAAUCUGUUAUUCGUAUAAAAAUGUUGACAGAUGCAGAUUGGACCUCGAACUUAAAGUUGUUGUUUGCAAAACUUGGUGAAUAUUCUUAAUCGGUAAAAUGCAAUGGAAAGCGGAAGAUGGAGUUUUUUUCAUCUAAUCUCGAUGCCGCGGCAUGCCGCUGAGAGAAUUGAUGACGACAUUCGAAAUCUAAGGACUACAAACCACAUGAAAUUAUAGCGGUAAUAAAAAACGAGAAAAUGAUCUAUCCACGCAAACAACUCGUUUGCAAGAUAGUAAUUCGUCAUUCAAGAGUCAGUACCAUCCCCAGCAAUGUCACUACUGUCCUGCUGACAAAGUCAUCUUUUCCACAGUAUGGAGACAAACAGCUGUUUAUCUUGUCCUGGACCUUCUUUUCGAACUUCUUUCAGUCAGUGUCACCACCUCAAGAUUGGACGAUUUAGCCUCGAGAAUAGCCGUUCAACUUCUUAUGGUUCCCUCUUUGUUUAUGGUAAAAUUUCAUGCGAAAAUUGCUAUCAUGUUUGGUAAUCGUCUUUAUCACCACCAUGAUAAAUAUUAUGCAACGUUUCUAAAACCGUUGGUUCCUGCUAGAAAAGAUAGACGGGCAAGAAUAAUUUUACCUAACCACUUCGAGGCGGAUCUGAAUCCCAAGACAA